GUUCCCGGCUGAUGGGAUUCAUCUGGUUUUCCUGGAUCUUCUGUGAAUGCCUUGUUCCACGGACCGGUCGUCGAUGCACUCGAGGUGCACCGCAUUGACGAGCGGCAGUAGCAGGAUGCAAUCGGCGCGGCCGAGCUGGCAGCGAAGCCGGUUCUCGGUGAGCCAUUCACGCCGAAUGAGGGCGGUCAAGAGCCGGCUGCAUACGUUCGAUAUAUUCGCUACGCGCACGAUCAAACUGUGUAACGAUGCCGAGUGUGUCCGACCAUCGCGACUAGAAGCAUAGCGGAAGUUAAGUUGCGUCGUCUAUUGUGACACCUUUUCAUCAACAACUGGCAUGACUAUCGGCGCACGGUCGGUGGCUCUAGCGAAGGGGAGGGUGCGUUCCAAUCGGCUGGCAGGACACAGAUCGGAUCGGUUAGGACAACGAUCGGCAUAGUACGGCUCGCGACCCGCAUGUGGCUAUUUGUUGACUAGUUGCCUCUUCAAGUGCAAAUCUACGAACAUGUUUAGAAGAUUUGGCUCUUUCGGUCGCAACGUUUGCCGAGUCGCUGGGGAUAUUGGAUUGUAAGGAAUGAAUAUACUGUCCGCAGGAACCAGAUGAUGACAUCACUAAGGAGCUAAUGCGCUAAAGCUUAUCAGAAGGAGGCGAGAAUGGUUUGAUGUUUUUGGCACAGCUCCCACGUAUCAUCCAUACCACACCAAAUCAUUAUGGCGCAGCUGUGAAUAUGUACAACGUCAUCCUGCUCGGGUAGGAUGGUGACGGUCUCCCGCUCGGUAUAUCUUGACGGCAGUAUAACGCAAGGCAAGUAUACAUAUAGUUUCAGUACGUUUAAUAAGUGUAAAGAAUGCUAAUAUCUUUGUUUCUUUUUCAAAUUUUCAGAUUCAAAUGAACAAUAUACAAGGUGCACUAAACAUACACUGGACUCUGUUUGGAACGGGUCUAGUAAAAGUAUUUGUUAGUGGUGCGUGCAUAUUAUUAUGUGCACCUAUUUUAUUUUUCCUAUCUUGUUACCGAUCGAACCGACCGAACCCAGUAGAAUAAAAAAUAUGAUUACAUUACAUA